UAUCUUCAGGGCAGGGUGCAAUUCCCGACCGGCGGUAAUAGUCCGCGAGCGAAAGCUGAUACGGUGUGAUUCCGUAACCGACGGUAGAGUCCGGAUAAAAGAAGAA
rnacentral:ncRNA from 1 species